rnacentral:rRNA from 1 species
GAUGAACGCUGGCGGCGUGCCUAAUACAUGCAAGUCGAGCGAACGGACGAGAAGCUUGCUUCUCUGAUGUUAGCGGCGGACGGGUGAGUAACACGUGGAUAACCUACCUAUAAGACUGGGAUAACUUCGGGAAACCGGAGCUAAUACCGGAUGAUAUUUUGAACCGCAUGGUUCAAAAGUGAAAGACGGUCUUGCUGUCACUUAUAGAUGGAUCCGCGCUGCAUUAGCUAGUUGGUAAGGUAACGGCUUACCAAGGCAACGAUGCAUAGCCGACCUGAGAGAGUGAUCGGCCACACUGGAACUGAGACACGGUCCAGACUCCUACGAGAGGCAGCAGUAGGGAAUCUUCCGCAAUGGGCGAAAACCUGACGGAGCAACGCCGCGUGAGUGAUGAAGGUCUUCGGAUCGUAAAACUCUGUUAUUAGGGAAGAACAUAUGUGUAAGUAACUGUGCACAUCUUGACGGUACCUACUCAGAAAGCCACGGCUAACUACGUG